UCAACAUACUGUAGUUAAGAGACUAUGAACCUUGAAAAAAGAUACAAAUUUAAUGCCCUAGAAAACAUCAAACAAAGGCCUUUAGACACAAGUAAGAAAAGGAAAAUAGCUAAAGGAUUGUCUUACUUAAAUCCAUUCUUAAUACUAAUCUCUUGGGUAUGACUCCCGUUAACUAAGACAAUCAUAUUGCAUGAAAAAACACAGACACACAUCUAAGCACACCACUUUUAAUCAAAACCAAAUAUAUAAAUCAUAUAAUCCAAGAAGCUCCAUCUCAUACAGUUGUAAGUCUUCUCAAUAUCCAUCAUAAAAAUGAUACAAUCUUUCAUAUAUCUCUAAACAAUGUCAACUAACAUAUAAACAUCCACAACCCUAUCAACCAAGAGUCUCCCUUUAAGAAAGACAUAUUG
rnacentral:lncRNA from 1 species